rnacentral:tRNA from 1 species
AGUGGCCCAGUGGUUCAAACAUCCGCCUGGUAACCCAGAGGUUGCGGGUUCAAAUCCCG